rnacentral:rRNA from 1 species
AGUGAACGCUGGCGGUAGGCCUAACACAUGCAAGUCGAACGGCAGCACAGUAAGAUCUUGCUCUUACGGGUGGCGAGUGGCGGACGGGUGAGGAAUACAUCGGAAUCUACUUUUUCGUGGGGGAUAACGUAGGGAAACUUACGCUAAUACCUCAUACGACCUACGGGUGAAAGCAGGGGAUCUUCGGACCUUGCGCGAUUGAAUGAGCCGAUGUCGGAUUAGCUAGUUGGCGGGGUAAAGGCCCACCAAGGCGACGAUCCGUAGCUGGUCUGAGAGGAUGAUCAGCAACACUGGAACUGAGACACGGUCCAGACUCCUACGGGAGGCAGCAGUGGGGAAUAUUGGACAAUGGGCGCAAGCCUGAUCCAGCCAUACCGCGUGGGUGAAGAAGGCCUUCGGGUUGUAAAGCCCUUUUGUUGGGAAAGAAAAGCAGCAGGUUAAUACCCCGCUGUUCUGACGGUACCCAAAGAAUAAGCACCGGCUAACUUCGUG